rnacentral:rRNA from 1 species
UGGAGAGUUUGAUCCUGGCUCAGGACGAACGCUGGCGGCGUGCCUAACACAUGCAAGUCGAGCGGGAUCCAUCCAGUAGCAAUACUGGUGAAGAUCUAGCGGCGAACGGGUGAGUAACACGUGAGAAACCUGCCCCGGACUCUGGGAUAACACGAGGAAACUCGUGCUAAUACCGGAUACCUUCUUUUGGUCGCAUGGCCAGCUGAAGAAAGAUUUAUCGGUUUGGGAGGGUCUCGCGGCCUAUCAGCUAGUUGGCGGGGUAACGGCCCACCAAGGCAUCGACGGGUAGCUGGUCUGAGAGGACGAUCAGCCACACUGGGACUGAGACACGGCCCAGACUCCUACGGGAGGCAGCAGUGGGGAAUCUUGCGCAAUGGGCGAAAGCCUGACGCAGCAACGCCGCGUGCGGGAUGAAGGCCUUCGGGUUGUAAACCGCUUUCAGC